rnacentral:rRNA from 1 species
GGGACACGUGGUAUCCUGUCUGAAUAUGGGGGGACCAUCCUCCAAGGCUAAAUACUCCUGACUGACCGAUAGUGAACCAGUACCGUGAGGGAAAGGCGAAAAGAACCCCGGCGAGGGGAGUGAAAAAGAACCUGAAACCGUGUACGUACAAGCAGUGGGAGCACGCUUAGGCGUGUGACUGCGUACCUUUUGUAUAAUGGGUCAGCGACUUAUAUUCUGUAGCAAGGUUAACCGAAUAGGGGAGCCGAAGGGAAACCGAGUCUUAACUGGGCGUUAAGUUGCAGGGUAUAGACCCGAAACCCGGUGAUCUAGCCAUGGGCAGGUUGAAGGUUGGGUAACACUAACUGGAGGACCGAACCGACUAAUGUUGAAAAAUUAGCGGAUGACUUGUGGCUGGGGGUGAAAGGCCAAUCAAACCGGGAGAUAGCUGGUUCUCCCCGAAAGCUAUUUAGGUAGCGCCUCGUGAAUUCAUCUCCGGGGGUAGAGCACUGUUUCGGCAAGGGGGUCAUCCCGACUUACCAACCCGAUGCAAACUGCGAAUACCGGAGAAUGUUAUCACGGGAGACACACGGCGGGUGCUAACGUCCGUCGUGAAGAGGGAAACAACCCAGACCGCCAGCUAAGGUCCCAAAGUCAUGGUUAAGUGGGAAACGAUGUGGGAAGGCCCAGACAGCCAGGAUGUUGGCUUAGAAGCAGCCAUCAUUUAAAGAAAGCGUAAUAGCUCACUGGUCGAGUCGGCCUGCGCGGAAGAUGUAACGGGGCUAAACCAUGCACCGAAGCUGCGGCAGCGACGCUUAUGCGUUGUUGGGUAGGGGAGCGUUCUGUAAGCCUGCGAAGGUGUGCUGUGAGGCAUGCUGGAGGUAUCAGAAGUGCGAAUGCUGACAUAAGUAACGAUAAAGCGGGUGAAAAGCCCGCUCGCCGGAAGACCAAGGGUUCCUGUCCAACGUUAAUCGGGGCAGGGUGAGUCGACCCCUAAGGCGAGGCCGAAAGGCGUAGUCGAUGGGAAACAGGUUAAUAUUCCUGUACUUGGUGUUACUGCGAAGGGGGGACGGAGAAGGCUAUGUUGGCCGGGCGACGGUUGUCCCGGUUUAAGCGUGUAGGCUGGUUUUCCAGGCAAAUCCGGAAAAUCAAGGCUGAGGCGUGAUGACGAGGCACUACGGUGCUGAAGCAACAAAUGCCCUGCUUCCAGGAAAAGCCUCUAAGCAUCAGGUAACAUCAAAUCGUACCCCAAACCGACACAGGUGGUCAGGUAGAGAAUACCAAGGCGCUUGAGAGAACUCGGGUGAAGGAACUAGGCAAAAUGGUGCCGUAACU